rnacentral:rRNA from 1 species
UACGUAGGGUGCAAGCGUUGUCCGGAAUUAUUGGGCGUAAAGAGUUCGUAGGCGGUCUGUCGCGUCUGCUGUGAAAUCUCAGGGCUUAACCCUGAGCUUGCAGUGGGUACGGGCAGACUAGAGGUAGGUAGGGGAGAAUGGAAUUCCCGGUGUAGCGGUGAAAUGCGCAGAUAUCGGGAGGAACACCGGUGGCGAAGGCGGUUCUCUGGGCCUUACCUGACGCUGAGACACGAAGGCCAGGGGAGCAAACGGG